rnacentral:rRNA from 1 species
AUUGAACGCUGGCGGCAGGCCUAACACAUGCAAGUCGAGCGAGAGGCGGACGGGUGAGUAAUGUAUGGGGACUGCCCGAUAGAGGGGGAUAACUACUGGAAACGGUGGCUACUACCGCAUACUAUCGGAUAACCCAUAUGGGAUUAGCUAGUGGUGGGGGUAAAGGCUCACCUAGGGGACGAUCUCUAGCUGGUCUGAGAGGCUGAUCAGCAACACUGGGACUGAGACACGGCCCAGACUCCUACGGAGGCAGCAGUGGGGAAUAUUCGACAAUGGGCGCAAGCCUGAUGCAGCAAUGCCGCGUGUAUGAAGAAAGCCUGAGGGUUGUAAAGUACUGUUAGCGGGGAGGCGUUACCUGCAGAAGAAGCACCGGCUAACUCCGUGCCAGCAGCCGCGGUAAUAC